AACGGGGAGCAGCCCAGAGCCUGAAUCAGUGUGUGUGUUAGUGGAAGCGUCUGGAAAGGCGCGCGAUACAGGGUGACAGCCCCGUACACAAAAAUGCACAUGCUGUGAGCUCGAUGAGUAGGGCGGGACACGUGGUAUCCUGUCUGAAUAUGGGGGGACCAUCCUCCAAGGCUAAAUACUCCUGACUGACCGAUAGUGAACCAGUACCGUGAGGGAAAGGCGAAAAGAACCCCGGCGAGGGGAGUGAAAAAGAACCUGAAACCGUGUACGUACAAGCAGUGGGAGCACGCUUCGGCGUGUGACUGCGUACCUUUUGUAUAAUGGGUCAGCGACUUAUAUUCUGUAGCAAGGUUAACCGAAUAGGGGAGCCGAAGGGAAACCGAGUCUUAACUGGGCGUUAAGUUGCAGGGUAUAGACCCGAAACCCGGUGAUCUAGCCAUGGGCAGGUUGAAGGUUGGGUAACACUAACUGGAGGACCGAACCGACUAAUGUUGAAAAAUUAGCGGAUGACUUGUGGCUGGGGGUGAAAGGCCAAUCAAACCGGGAGAUAGCUGGUUCUCCCCGAAAGCUAUUUAGGUAGCGCCUCGUGAAUUCAUCUCCGGGGGUAGAGCACUGUUUCGGCAAGGGGGUCAUCCCGACUUACCAACCCGAUGCAAACUGCGAAUACCGGAGAAUGUUAUCACGGGAGACACACGGCGGGUGCUAACGUCCGUCGUGAAGAGGGAAACAACCCAGACCGCCAGCUAAGGUCCCAAAGUCAUGGUUAAGUGGGAAACGAUGUGGGAAGGCCCAGACAGCCAGGAUGUUGGCUUAGAAGCAGCCAUCAUUUAAAGAAAGCGUAAUAGCUCACUGGUCGAGUCGGCCUGCGCGGAAGAUGUAACGGGGCUAAACCAUG
rnacentral:rRNA from 1 species